AAAUUAGAAGAAAGGCGAAUGAAUGAAUGGGAAUUUUCUUGAUUUUGUAGCAAAUGCAAUUAUGAAAUAUUUACAGAAGGGAAAAAGAUUGAGCAUUAAAAAGCACACACAAUUGAAAUUAAAAGAUAAUGCACAAUAUGCACAAGUAUAUACAUAUUAAGAGUAAAAAAAGCCUUAAUUUAUAAUAUUAAUCUACUACUGCUACUAAACGAAAAGCUUCAAGCUUGCUGUAUAUGUUACAGCUGAGGUUUGAAGAAAAAAAAAAAUCCUCCUGGUUAAGGUUAGAUCAGAAGAAGACCAUUCAUGCUCAUAUACUUACCUCUGUCGCUGAACCGAAGUUGGUUAAGUAGGCAAGAAACAGGAAUAAUUAAGCUAGCUUAGCACCUGUUUCAUUCAAGUAAGUACAUAUAUAGGAAGAGAAUUUUAAUUAAUAGACUUACCAGAGAAUUUCAUAGAAGCAUGCAUGGAGAAAUUGGAGAUUGAGAAUAGUUUUUAGCAGACAGGGAUAAGCUUGGUGCUUCCACUCCUCAUCAUCCUCUUAAAUUCAUCAAAAUUAACCAUUCCAUCUCCAUCCAUAUCAACCUUUUUAAUCAUUUCUUUGCAAUCUUCUAUUCUUUUUCCUUCCUUUAAUCCCAAAGAAGACAAUACCAAUCCAAGUUCUUCCACAGAUAUCAAUCCAUCUUUAUCUCUAUCAAAUACAUCAAAUGCCUCCUUCAAAUCUCCUUGCCCUUCUGCUUCUCCAUUCCCACCAUCAUCCUCUAAUUCUUGACCACCAUCUCCCAUGAUGUCCUCGCACAAGAAGCAAAACUCUUCGUAAUCUAUCAACCCAUCUCCAUUAGAAUCAACCUUUGCCACCAUUUCUUCAACUUCCUUCUCCGUCAUGAAGAUUCUUAUGUUCUUGAGUGACUCUCUCAGCUCAUGUUUUGUUAUAAACCCGUCGCCAUUCUUGUCAAACGUAGCAAACACACUUUUCAGCUGUCCCUUGUUCUUGCUAUUAUCACAAGAAGUGCUAGUGUUCUUUUUCAUCUGUGGAGAAACUUCGGAAGAAGCUGAAGGAUUCUUGAAGAGAAAAGAUUGGAGCCAAGAACACAGCUUCUUGGAAGGAGCAUAGAAGUAAAUAUUAAAGAGACCAGCGAGGAAGAGAAAAAGUAGAAGUAAGAGCAUAGCAGCUGAUGAGACCAUGUUUGGAUGAAAUGGAAGAAUAAAGAUAGAGAAGAGAGAAAACGAGAAAGGACAAAUAAAGGUAGUAGAGC
rnacentral:misc_RNA from 1 species